UACGUAGGGCGCGAGCGUUUAUCCGGAAUUAUUGGGCGUAAAGAGCUCGUAGGCGGUCUGUCGCGUCUGCUGUGAAAACUCAGGGCUUAACCCUGAGCUUGCAGUGGGUACGGGCAGACUAGAGUGCGGUAGGGGAGACUGGAAUUCCUGGUGUAGCGGUGAAAUGCGCAGAUAGUCAGGAGGAACACCGGUGGCGAAGGCGGCAUCCUGGACCAUUACUGACACUGAAAAGCGAAAGCCAGGGGAGCAAACGGG
rnacentral:rRNA from 1 species